GAUGAACGCUAGCGGCAGGCCUAAUACAUGCAAGUCGAACGGUAGAUUUAACUUCGGUUGAAUUGAGAGUGGCGCACGGGUGCGUAACGCGUAUGAAACCUACCCUAUACAGGGGGAUAGCCCGGAGAAAUCUGGAUUAAUACCCCAUGGUAUCAUUGAAUGGCAUCGUUUAAUGAUUAAAGAUUUAUCGGUAUAGGAUGGUCAUGCGUCUGAUUAGCUAGUUGGUAGUGUAAUGGACUACCAAGGCGACGAUCAGUAGGGGUUCUGAGAGGAAGGUCCCCCACACUGGCACUGAGAUACGGGCCAGACUCCUACGGGAGGCAGCAGUAGGGAAUAUUGGGCAAUGGACGAGAGUCUGACCCAGCCAUGCCGCGUGCAGGAAGACGGCCUAUUGGGUUGUAAACUGCUUUAUCUGGGAAGAAAAAGGCCAUGCGUGGCAAAUUGCCGGUACCAGAUGAAUAAGCACCGGCUAACUCCGUGCCAGCCGCCGCGGUAA
rnacentral:rRNA from 1 species